GAGUGAACGCUGGCGGUAGGCCUAACACAUGCAAGUCGAACGGCAGCACAGUAAGAGCUUGCUCUUACGGGUGGCGAGUGGCGGACGGGUGAGGAAUACAUCGGAAUCUACUUUUUCGUGGGGGAUAACGUAGGGAAACUUACGCUAAUACCGCAUACGACCUACGGGUGAAAGCAGGGGAUCUUCGGACCUUGCGCGAUUGAAUGAGCCGAUGUCGGAUUAGCUAGUUGGCGGGGUAAAGGCCCACCAAGGCGACGAUCCGUAGCUGGUCUGAGAGAAUGAUCAGCCACACUGGAACUGAGACACGGUCCAGACUCCUACGGGAGGCAGCAGUGGGGAAUAUUGGACAAUGGGCGCAAGCCUGAUCCAGCCAUACCGCGUGGGUGAAGAAGGCCUUCGGGUUGUAAAGCCCUUUUGUUGGGAAAGAAAAGCAGCAGGUUAAUACCCCGCUGUUCUGACGGUACCCAAAGAAUAAGCACCGGCUAACUUCGUG
rnacentral:rRNA from 1 species